rnacentral:rRNA from 1 species
CGGACGGGUGAGUAAUGCUUGGGAAUCUGGCUUAUGGAGGGGGAUAACUACGGGAAACUGUAGCUAAUACCGCGUAGUAUCGAGAGAUGAAAGACUGGGACCGCAAGGCCAGUUGCCAUGAGAUGAGCCCAAGUGGGAUUAGGUAGUUGGUGGGGUAAAGGCCUACCAAGCCGACGAUCUCUAGCUGGUCUGAGAGGAUGACCAGCCACACUGGAACUGAGACACGGUCCAGACUCCUACGGGAGGCAGCAGUGGGGAAUAUUGCACAAUGGGGGGAACCCUGAUGCAGCCAUGCCGCGUGAAUGAAGAAGGCCUUCGGGUUGUAAAGUUCUUUCGGUGAUGAGGAAGGGUGGUGUUUUAAUAGAACAUUACAUUGACGUUAGUCACAGAAGAAGCACCGGCUAACUCCGUGCCAGCAGCCGCGGUAAUACGGAGGGUGCGAGCGUUAAUCGGAAUGACUGGGCGUAAAGGGCACGCAGGCGGUGACUUAAGUGAGAUGUGAAAGCCCCGAGCUUAACUUGGGAAUUGCAUUUCAUACUGGGUUGCUAGAGUAUUUUAGGGAGGGGUAGAAUUCCACGUGUAGCGGUGAAAUGCGUAGAGAUGUGGAGGAAUACCGAAGGCGAAGGCAGCCCCUUGGGAAAAUACUGACGCUCAUGUGCGAAAGCGUGGGGAGCAAACAGGAUUAGAUACCCUGGUAGUCCACGCUGUAAACGCUGUCGAUUUGGGGAUUGGGCUUAGAGCUUGGUGCCCGUAGCUAACGUGAUAAAUCGACCGCCUGGGGAGUACGGCCGCAAGGUUAAAACUC